rnacentral:rRNA from 1 species
ACGCACGCUGGCGGCGUGCUUCACACAUGCCCGUCGAACGGAAAGGCCCUGCUUUUGUGGGGUGCUCGAGUGGCGAACGGGUGAGUAACACGUGAGUAACCUGCCCUUGACUUUGGGAUAACUUCAGGAAACUGGGGCUAAUACCGGAUAGGAGCUCCUGCUGCAUGGUGGGGGUUGGAAAGUUUCGGCGGUUGGGGAUGGACUCGCGGCUUAUCAGCUUGUUGGUGGGGUAGUGGCUUACCAAGGCUUUGACGGGUAGCCGGCCUGAGAGGGUGACCGGCCACAUUGGGACUGAGAUACGGCCCAGACUCCUACGGGAGGCAGCAGGGGGGAAUAUUGCACAAUGGGCGGAAGCCUGAUGCAGCAACGCCGCGUGCGGGAUGACGGCCUUCGGGUUGUAAACCGCUUUCGCCUGUGACGAAGCGUGAGUGACGGUAAUGGGUAAAGAAGCACCGGCUAACUACGUG